GACUCGGUAGUGUAAGGGUUAGAGCACGGUGCCCGGAAAGCACAAGUACGGGUUCGAGUCCCAUCCGAGACU
rfam:Haemonchus contortus, ISE/inbred ISE, WGS project CAVP01000000 data, contig: Hcontortus_32194